GAGGAAAAGAAACCAACAGGGAUUGCCCCAGUAACGGCGAGUGAAGCGGCAAAAGCUCAAAUUUGAAAUCCUGCGGGAAUUGUAAUUUGAAGGUUUCGUGGUCUGAGUCGGCCGCGCCCAAGUCCAUUGGAACAUGGCGCCUGGGAGGGUGAGAGCCCCGUAUGGCGCACGCCGACUCUUUGCACCGCGGCUCCGACGAGUCGAGUUGUUUGGGAAUGCAGCUCUAAGUGGGUGGUAAAUUCCAUCUAAAGCUAAAUAUUGGCGAGAGACCGAUAGCGAACAAGUACAGUGAUGGAAAGAUGAAAAGCACUUUGAAAAGAGAGUGAAACAGCACGUGAAAUUGUUGAAAGGGAAGGGCUUGCAAGCAGACACGGUUUUACCGGGCCAGCGUCGAAAAGGGGGGAGGAACAAGAACUCGAGAAUGUGGCGCGCACCUUCGGGCGCGCGUGUUAUAGCUCGUGUUGACGCCUCCAUCCUUUUUCGAGGCCUGCGAUUCUAGGACGCUGGCGUAAUGGUUGCAAGCCGCCCGUC
rnacentral:rRNA from 1 species